rfam:Felis catus isolate Cinnamon breed Abyssinian chromosome B3, whole genome shotgun sequence.
GCCUGGGUGGCUCAGUCGGUAAAGUGUCUGACUUCAGCUCAGGUCAUGAUCUCACAGUCUGUGGGUUUGAGCCCCUCCUCAGGCU